ensembl:lncRNA
AUGCGACCUCCCCGUGCCGGCUCGAUCCCCGGCCCAGCAAAGUCCCUUCCUUCAGCUCUCGUGGAUGUGUCUGGGUUUGUCUGGCAUCCUGGGAGCCCCGGGGACCCAGAGACCCUGAGCCAGGCUGGGCCUGAGCACCCGGGAACCUCCACAGCCUUCGGAAGCGGUGGUGGUCUGUCCAUCCGACGGGCGAGGAAGCAGGCGCAGGAGCAGGCUCCACGCCCUGGGCAGAGAGCAGCCUGGGUGGCCCCAGGGAAGGUGUGGUCCCAGCCGGCCCGGGGCAUGCCCGCCAUGACAGUUGGCCUGGACUUCUCCAGCUCAGUGGGCCCUCCCUCUCCCCCUCCCCUCCCCUCCUCUCCCCCUCCCCUCCCCUCCUUCCCUCCCCCUCUCCUUCUCUUCCUCCUUCCUUCCUUCCUUCCUUCCUUCCUUCCUUCCUUCCUUCCUUCCCUCCCUCCCUCUUCCCUCCUUCCCUCCCUCCCUCCCCUCCUCUCCCUCCCUCCCCUCCCCUCCCCUCCUUCCCUCCCCCUUCCCUCCUUCCCUCCCUCCUCUCCCCCUCCCCUCCCCUCCCCUCCCCUCCCCUCCUUCCCUCCCUCCCUCCCUCCCUCCCCUCCUUCCCUCCCUCCCUCCCCUCCUUCCCUCCCUCCCUCCCUCCCUCCCUCCCCUCCUUCCCUCCCCCUUCCCUCCUUCCUUCCUUCCUUCCUUCCUUCCUUCCUUCCUUCCUUCCUUCCUUCCUUCCUUCCUUCCUUCCUUCCUUCCUUCCUUCCUUCCUUCCUUCCUUCCUUCCUUCCUCCCUCCCCUCCUCUCCCUCCCCUCCUUCCCUCCCCCUUCCCUCCUUCCCUCCCCUCCUUCCCUCCCUCCCUCCCUCCCUCCCUCCCCUCCUUCCCUCCCUCCCUCCCCUCCUCUCCCUCCCCUCCUCUCCCUCCCCUCCUCUCCCUCCCCUCCUUCCCUCCCUCCCUCCCUCCCCUCCUCUCCCUCCCCUCCUCUCCCUCCCUCUUCCCUCCUUCCCUCCCCUCCUUCCCUCCCUCCCUCUACUCCCUCCUUCCUUCCUUCCCUCCCUCCCUCCCUCCCUCCCUCCCUCCCUCCCUCCCUCCCUCCCUCCCUCCCUCCCUCCCUCCCUCCCUCCCUCCCUCCCUCCCUCCCUCCCUCCCUCCCUCCCCUCCUUCCCCUCUCCCAGAGCACUCACUCUCGACCAGGACCCGUCCGGCUGCUCCAGCUGAUGUAGUAUCAGCAAGAGGAAAAGUAGAAGCCCUAAUAGGUAGGGGAGGAGUGGGGACUAGAGGAGUCCUGGGUGCUGGGAGCCGAGAACCUGGAAGAGGGGAGACCCCAGGGGGCGGCCAGGAGAAGGUCAAAGUGGAGUGGGAAGCACUGGGGGCCUCGAGGAUGGGGAAGGGUGCCGGUCCCAGGGCCAGGAGGGCAGUGAGGACCCAGGGGGAACCGCAGGGGCCGAAGGACAAAGGUGGGGGGGUCUACGCAGCUGGAGGCCCGUGUCAGGAGGACGUGUGCAGACCCCCUAAUGGAGCCGGCAUUCUCAGGUCCUGCCCCACCAUGGCACCUGCCCCACCACAGCCUGGUGAGCCUGCGUAG